GACGAACGCUGGCGGCGUGCUUAACACAUGCAAGUCGAGCGAUGAAGUUUCUUCGGAAAUGGAUUAGCGGCGAACGGGUGAGGAACACGUGAAGAAUCUGCCCUCCACUUUGGGAUAACACCGGGAAACCGGUGCUAAUACCGAAUAUUGAAACAUAAGUGGCAUCACUGAGUUUUGAAAGAAUUUCGAUGGAGGAUGACUUCGCGGCCUAUCAGCUAGUUGGUGAGGUAAUGGCUCACCAAGGCAACGACGGGUAGCCGGCCUGAGAGGGCGACCGGCCACACUGGGACUGAGACACGGCCCAGACUCCUACGGGAGGCAGCAGUGGGGAAUAUUGGGCAAUGGAGGAAACUCUGACCCAGCGACGCCGCGUGCGGGAUGAAGGCCUUCGGGUUGUAAACCGCUUUCAGUAGGGAAGAAGCGAAAGUGACGGUACCUACAAAAGAAGCACCGGCUAACUAUGUGCCAGCAGCCGCGGUAAUACAUAGGGUGCAAGCGUUGUCCGGAAUUAUUGGGCGUAAAGAGCUCGUAGGUCGUUUGUUACGUCGGAUGUGAAAACCUGAGGCUCAACCUCAGGCCUGCAUUCGAUACGGGCAAACUAGAGUUUGGUAGGGGAGACUGGAAUUCCUGGUGUAGCGGUGGAAUGCGCAGAUAUCAGGAGGAACACCAAUGGCGAAGGCAGGUCUCUGGGCCAAUACUGACACUGAGGAGCGAAAGUCUGGGGAGCGAACAGGAUUAGAUACCCUGGUAGUCCAGACCGUAAACGGUGGGCACUAGUUGUGGGAACCUUCCACGGUUUCUGCGACGCAGCUAACGCAUUAAGUGCCCCGCCUGGGGAGUACGAUCGCAAGAUUA
rnacentral:rRNA from 1 species